GGGAGCUUAGAUGUGGAAGCUCUUUGGAAACCAAGAAACACUCUGAAAAUGAAAAGGAUACCAACUUCAUCUCUCUUUAAGAAUACAAUAUUAGUUUAAAAGAUUGUUCAACUUAAAGCAAUCUUGUAGAGAUUGUCACCCAUGAUUGAUGCUGGCAUAAGAAUGUUUAUCACAGCAUGGCAUAUAUUGGAAGUUUAGUAAAUGAAGAUACAUCCAAUCUGACAUUCUAUUCACAACCACAAAGAGAUAAUGUAGAAACAUAUUUAGUAAUGUGAGAAAAUACUAAAUAUUAAGUGAAAAAGGUCUACAUAAUAAAUCAUUAGAGAAAUGUGAAUUAAAACCAAUGAGUUAUUACUACAGAGUCACUAGAAUGGCUACAACUAAAAGACUGACAAUACUAAGUGUUGUUGAGGAUGUGAAACAAGUGGAAUCACCAUACACUGAUAAUGAGAGUAUAAAAUGACAAAACGACCUAGGAAUUAGUCUGGCAAUUUCUCAUGUAAACAUACACCUGUCCUACGACUCACCAUUUAUGCUUUUAGGUUUUACUAAAAAGAAGUGAAGACAUGUGUCAACAAAAAGAUUUGUACAAGAAUGUUUAAAGCAUCCUUAUUCAUAAUAGCCAGUCACUCCAAUGUCCAUCAAUAAAACAGUAGAUAAACAAA
ensembl:lncRNA SATB1-AS1 SATB1 antisense RNA 1